UCCUACGGGAGGCAGCAGUAGGGAAUCUUCCGCAAUGGACGAAAGUCUGACGGAGCAACGCCGCGUGAGUGAUGAAGGCUUUCGGGUCGUAAAACUCUGUUGUUAGGGAAGAACAAGUGCUAGUUGAAUAAGCUGGCACCUUGACAGUACCUAACCAGAAAGCCACGGCUAACUACGUGCCAGCAGCCGCGGUAAUACGUAGGUGGCAAGCGUUAUCCGGAAUUAUUGGGCGUAAAGCGCGCGCAGGUGGUUUCUUAAGUCUGAUGUGAAAGCCCACGGCUCAACCGUGGAGGGUCAUUGGAAACUGGGAGACUUGAGUGCAGAAGAGGAAAGUGGAAUUCCAUGUGUAGCGGUGAAAUGCGUAGAGAUAUGGAGGAACACCAGUGGCGAAGGCGACUUUCUGGUCUGUAACUGACACUGAGGCGCGAAAGCGUGGGGAGCAAACAGGAUUAGAUACCCUGGUAGUCCACGCCGUAAACGAUGAGUGCUAAGUGUUAGAGGGUUUCCGCCCUUUAGUGCUGAAGUUAACGCAUUAAGCACUCCGCCUGGGGAGUACGGCCGCAAGGCUGAAACUCAAAGGAAUUGACGGA
rnacentral:rRNA from 1 species